UGAGGAAUCUUGCACAAUGGGCGAAAGCCUGAUGCAGCGACGCCGCGUGAAGGAUGAAGGUCUUCGGAUUGUAAACUUCUGUUAAGUGGGAAGAAAGUUUUGUCUCUAAUACAGACAGAAUGUGACGGUACCAUUAGAGAAAGCACCGGCUAAACUCGUGCCAGCAGCCGCGGUAAUACGAGUGGUGCAAGCGUUAUUCGGAAUUAUUGGGCGUAAAGGGUGCGUAGGCGGCAUACUAAGUCAAUCGUUAAAUUCCUUGGCCUAACCGAGGACCUGCGGUAGAAACUGGUGUGCUAGAGGAUGGAAGAGAGAAGUGGAAUUCUCGGAGUAGCGGUAAAAUGCGUAGAUCUCGAGAGGAACACCGAUGGCGAAGGCAGCUUCUUGGUCCAUAUCUGACGCUGAGGCACGAAAGCGUGGGGAGCAAACAGG
rnacentral:rRNA from 1 species